ACGUACACUCCUGCGGGAGGCAGCAGUGGGGAAUUUUGGACAAUGGGCGAAAGCCUGAUCCAGCCAUGCCGCGUGCAGGAUGAAGGCCUUCGGGUUGUAAACUGCUUUUGUACGGAACGAAACGGCCUUUUCUAAUAAAGAGGGCUAAUGACGGUACCGUAAGAAUAAGCACCGGCUAACUACGUGCCAGCAGCCGCGGUAAUACGUAGGGUGCAAGCGUUAAUCGGAAUUACUGGGCGUAAAGCGUGCGCAGGCGGUUAUGUAAGACAGUUGUGAAAUCCCCGUGCUCAACCUGGGAACUGCAUCUGUGACUGCAUAGCUAGAGUACGGUAGAGGGGGAUGGAAUUCCGCGUGUAGCAGUGAAAUGCGUAGAUAUGCGGAGGAACACCGAUGGCGAAGGCAAUCCCCUGGACCUGUACUGACGCUCAUGCACGAAAGCGUGGGGAGCAAACAGGAUUAGAUACCCUAGUAGUCCC
rnacentral:rRNA from 1 species